rnacentral:rRNA from 1 species
UAGAUACCCUGGUAGUCCACGCCCUAAACGAUGAACACUCGAUGUUGGCGAUAUACGGUCAGCGUCUAAGCGAAAGCGUUAAGUGUUCCACCUGGGGAGUACGCCCGCAAGGGUGAAACUCAAAGGAAUUGACGGGGGCCCGCACAAGCGGAGGAGCAUGUGGUUUAAUUCGAUGAUACGCGAGGAACCUUACCCGGGCUUGAAAGUUAGUGAAUGUGGCAGAGACGCCACAGUCCUUCGGGACACGAAA